UUUGAUCAUGGCUCAGGAUGAACGCUAGCGGCAGGCUUAACACAUGCAAGUCGAGGGGCAGCAGGUCUUCGGAUGCUGGCGACCGGCGCACGGGUGCGUAACGCGUAUGCAACCUACCCUAUACAGGGGGAUAGCCCGAGGAAACUCGGAUUAAUACCCCAUAGAUUAUAUAUACCGCAUGGUAUUGUAUAAUAAAAUUACGAUGGUAUAGGAUGGGCAUGCGUGACAUUAGGUAGUUGGAGAGGUAACGGCUCACCAAGCCUACGAUGUCUAGGGGUCCUGAGAGGGUUACCCCCCACACUGGUACUGAGACACGGACCAGACUCCUACGGGAGGCAGCAGUGAGGAAUAUUGGUCAAUGGGCGGAAGCCUGAACCAGCCAUGCCGCGUGCAGGAAGACGGCCCUAUGGGUUGUAAACUGCUUUUAUACAGGAGGAAUUCUGCUACGUGUAGCAGGUUGACAGUACUGUACGAAUAAGCACCGGCUAACUCCGUG
rnacentral:rRNA from 1 species